rnacentral:rRNA from 1 species
ACACGUAUGGGGCAAGCGUUGUUCGGAAUCACUGGGCGUAAAGGGCGUGUAGGCGGUUCGAAAAGCCUGGCGUGAAAGGUAUCGGCUUAACCGAUAGACGGCGCUGGGAACUGCCGGACUGGAGUCACGGAGGGGGAGCUGGAAUUCCAGGUGUAGGGGUGAAAUCUGUAGAGAUCUGGAAGAACACCGGUGGCGAAGGCGAGCUUCUGGCCGAUGACUGACGCUGAGGCGCGAAAGCGUGGGGAGCAAACAGGAUUAGAUACCCUGGUAGUCCACGCUGUAAACGAUGUGCACUAGGUGUUGGUGCCAUACAGGCAUCGGUGCCGUAGCUAAGGCGAUAAGUGCACCGCCUGGGGAGUAUGCUCGCAAGGGUGAA